AGCAGCCGCGGUAAUUCCAGCUCCAAUAGCGUAUAUUAAAGUUGUUGCAGUUAAAAAGCUCGUAGUUGAAUUUCGAGAUCAAAUUGUUGGUCGUGCCUUGGUACGUACUGGCAUUAUUGGUUUCUCCCUUCUGACGAACCAUGAUGUCAUUAAUUUGGUGUCAUGGGGAAUCAGGACUGUUACUUUGAAAAAUUAGAGUGUUUAAAGCAGGCUCGCGCUUGAAUACAUUAGCAUGGAAUAAUGAAAUAGGACGUUUAAUUCUAUUUUGUUGGUUUCUAGGAUUGACGUAAUGAUUAAUAGGGAUAGUUGGGGGCAUUAGUAUUCAAUUGUCAGAGGUGAAAUUCUCGGAUUUAUUGAAGACUAACUACUGCGAAAGCAUUUGCCAAGGAUGUUUUCAUUAAUCAAGAACGAAAGUUAGGGGAUCGAAGACGAUCAGAUACCGUCGUAGUCUUAACCAUAAACCUAUGCCGACUAGGGAUCGGAUGAUGUUAAUUUUUAAUGA
rnacentral:rRNA from 1 species